rnacentral:misc_RNA from 1 species
AACACUGUUAACCUGCGGUACCUGCGGAAGGAUCAUUACCGAGUGCGGGUCCGCGUGGCCCAACCUCCCACCCGUGCCUAUUGUACCCUGUUGCUUCGGCGGGCCCGCCAGCCUUCGGGCUGGCCGCCGGGGGGCGUCUCGCCCCCGGGCCCGUGCCCGCCGGAGACCCCAACAUGAACCCUGUUCUGAAAGCUUGGUGUCUGAGUGUGAUUGUUUGCAAUCAGUUAAAACUUUCAACAA